GCGCCGGUGGGGUAAGGCGUAGCAUCGCUUCCCGGAAGCGGAAGGUGCGGGUUCGAGUCCCGCCUGGCGCA
rnacentral:tRNA from 1 species